rnacentral:rRNA from 1 species
GACGAACGCUGGCGGCGUGCCUAAUACAUGCAAGUAGAACGCUGAAGAGAGGAGCUUGCUCUUCUUGGCUGAGUUGCGAACGGGUGAGUAACGCGUAGGUAACCUGCCUUGUAGCGGGGGAUAACUAUUGGAAACGAUAGCUAAUACCGCAUAACAAUGGAUGACACAUGUCAUUUAUUUGAAAGGGGCAAUUGCUCCACUACAAGAUGGACCUGCGUUGUAUUAGCUAGUAGGUGAGGUAAUGGCUCACCUAGGCGACGAUACAUAGCCGACCUGAGAGGGUGAUCGGCCACACUGGGACUGAGACACAGCCCAGACUCCUACGGGAGGCAGCAGUAGGGAAUCUUCGGCAAUGGGGGCAACCCUGACCGAGCAACGCCGCGUGAGUGAAGAAGGUUUUCGGAUCGUAAAGCUCUGUUGUAAGUAAAGAACGGGUGUGAGAGUGGAAAGUUCACACUGUGACGGUAGCUUACCAGAAAGGGACGGCUAACUACGUG